rnacentral:rRNA from 1 species
UACGUAGGGUGCGAGCGUUAAUCGGAAUUACUGGGCGUAAAGCGUGCGCAGGCGGUUUUGUAAGACAGGCGUGAAAUCCCCGGGCUCAACCUGGGAAUUGCGCUUGUGACUGCAAGGCUAGAGUACGUCAGAGGGGGGUAGAAUUCCACGUGUAGCAGUGAAAUGCGUAGAGAUGUGGAGGAAUACCGAUGGCGAAGGCAGCCCCCUGGGACGUGACUGACGCUCAUGCACGAAAGCGUGGGAGCAAACAGG